CGCACAUUGCGCCCUUUGGUAUUCCGAGGGGCAUGCCCGUUCGAGCGUCAUUACACCAAUCAAGCGCCGCUUGGUAUUGGGUCCCGGGGGCGACCCGGACCUCAAAAUCGUCGGCUGGAAAUCUCCCAACGCAGCGUCGUGGCACAUCAAUUCGCUGGCGGGAGGAGCGUUCCACGCCGUGAAAUCCAUUCAAGGUUGACCUCGGAUCGGGUAGGGAUACCCGCUGAACUUAA
rnacentral:misc_RNA from 1 species